AACGACCAUACCAUGCUGAAUAUACCGGUUCUCGUUAGAUCACCGAAGUUAAGCAUCAUUGGGCGCGGUCAGUACUUGGGUGGGUGACCACCUGGGAACACCGGGUGUCGUU
rnacentral:rRNA from 1 species